AUCCUUACUGGGAAAGGAAGAUAAUAUGAUCACAAAGGUGAUUAUCCCAGAGUGAGGCUCAUCCAUUGCACUCUGCAUAUGACACCUAUGAUUUCUCCAAAUGUGGUAAGCUGGCAGCAUAAUUUGUGGUAGUGGGGGACUGUGUUAGUGCUUUUCCCUA